rnacentral:rRNA from 1 species
UAGGGAAUCUUCCACAAUGGACGCAAGUCUGAUGGAGCAACGCCGCGUGAGUGAAGAAGGUUUUCGGACCGUAAAGCUCUGUUGUUGGUGAAGAAGGAUAGAGGUAGUAACUGGCCUUUAUUUGACGGUAAUCAACCAGAAAGUCACGGCUAACUACGUGCCAGCAGCCGCGGUAAUCGUAGGUGGCAAGCGUUGUCCGGAUUUAUUGGGCGUAAAGCGAGCGCAGGCGGAAGAAUAAGUCUGAUGUGAAAGCCCUCGGCUUAACCGAGGAAUUGCAUCGGAAACUGUUUUCUUGAGUGCAGAAGAGGAGAGUAGAACUCCAUGUGUAGCGGUGGAAUGCGUAGAUAUAUGGAAGAAUACCAGUGGCGAAGGCGGCUCUCUGGUCUGCAACUGACGCUGAGGCUCGAAAGCAUGGUAGCGAACAGGAUUAGAUACCCUGGUAGUCCAUGCCGUAAACGAUGAGUGCUAAGUGU